rnacentral:rRNA from 1 species
UGGGGAAUAUUGGACAAUGGGCGCAAGCCUGAUCCAGCCAUACCGCGUGGGUGAAGAAGGCCUUCGGGUUGUAAAGCCCUUUUGUUGGGAAAGAAAUCCAGCUGGUUAAUACCCGGUUGGGAUGACGGUACCCAAAGAAUAAGCACCGGCUAACUUCGUGCCAGCAGCCGCGGUAAUACGAAGGGUGCAAGCGUUACUCGGAAUUACUGGGCGUAAAGCGUGCGUAGGUGGUCGUUUAAGUCUGUUGUGAAAGCCCUGGGCUCAACCUGGGAACUGCAGUGGAAACUGGACGACUAGAGUGUGGUAGAGGGUAGCGGAAUUCCUGGUGUAGCAGUGAAAUGCGUAGAGAUCAGGAGGAACAUCCAUGGCGAAGGCAGCUACCUGGACCAACACUGACACUGAGGCACGAAAGCGUGGGGAGCAAACAGGAUUAGAUACCCUGGUAGUCCACGCCCUAAACGAUGCGAACUGGAUGUUGGGUGCAAUUUUGGCACGCAGUAUCGAAGCUAACGCGUUAAGUUCGCCGCCUGGGGAGUACGGUCGCAAGACUGAAACUCAAAGGAAUUGAC